rnacentral:tRNA from 1 species
GGGUGUAGCUCAGUGAUAGAGCACUUGCCUUGUGCGCAGGAGGCCCUCCGUUUGAUCCCCAGCACUAAACA